rnacentral:rRNA from 1 species
AUUGAACGCUGGCGGAAUGCUUUACACAUGCAAGUCGAACGGUAGAGGGGGCAACCUCUCGAGAGUGGCGAACGGGUGAGUAAUAUAUCGGAACGUGCCCAGUCGUGGGGGAUAACGUAGCGAAAGUUACGCUAAUACCGCAUACGAUCUACGGAUGAAAGCGGGGGACUCGCAAGAGCCUCGCGCGAUUGGAGCGGCCGAUAUCAGAUUAGGUAGUUGGUGGGGUAAAGGCUCACCAAGCCAACGAUCUGUAGCUGGUCUGAGAGGACGACCAGCCACACUGGAACUGAGACACGGUCCAGACUCCUACGGGAGGCAGCAGUGGGGAAUUUUGGACAAUGGACGCAAGUCUGAUCCAGCCAUUCCGCGUGCAGGAUGAAGGCCCUCGGGUUGUAAACUGCUUUUGUACGGAACGAAAAGGUUUCCAUUAAUACUGGGAGCUCAUGACGGUACCGUAAGAAUAAGCACCGGCUAACUACGUG